AGAAAGCUUGCUUUCUUUGCUGACGAGUGGCGGACGGGUGAGUAAUGCUGGGAUCUGGCUUAUGAGGGGAUACGACGGGAAACUGUCGCUAUACCGCGUAAUGUCUAAGGACUAGAGGGUGGGACUUUCGGGCCACUGCCAUAAGAUGAGCCCAAGUGGGAUUAGGUAGUUGGUGGGGUAAAGGCCUACCAAGCCGACGAUCUCUAGCUGGUCUGAGAGGAUGACCAGCCACACUGGAACUGAGACACGGUCCAGACUCCUACGGGAGGCAGCAGUGGGGAAUAUUGCACAAUGGGGGGAACCCUGAUGCAGCCAUGCCGCGUGAAUGAAGAAGGCCUUCGGGUUGUAAAGUUCUUUCGGUGAUGAGGAAGGGUGAUGUUUUAAUAGAGCAUUACAUUGACGUUAGUCACAGAAGAAGCACCGGCUAACUCCGUGCCAGCAGCCGCGGUAAUACGGAGGGUGCGAGCGUUAAUCGGAAUGACUGGGCGUAAAGGGCACGCAGGCGGUGACUUAAGUGAGAUGUGAAAGCCCCGAGCUUAACUUGGGAAUUGCAUUUCAUACUGGGUUGCUAGAGUAUUUUAGGGAGGGGUAGAAUUCCACGUGUAGCGGUGAAAUGCGUAGAGAUGUGGAGGAAUACCGAAGGCGAAGGCAGCCCCUUGGGAAAAUACUGACGCUCAUGUGCGAAAGCGUGGGGAGCAAACAGGAUUAGAUACCCUGGUAGUCCACGCUGUAAACGCUGUCGAUUUGGGGAUUGGGCUUUAUGUUUGGUGCCCGUAGCUAACGUGAUAAAUCGACCGCCUGGGGAGUACGGCCGCAAGGUUAAAACUCAAAUGAAUUGACGGGGGCCCGCACAAGCGGUGGAGCAUGUGGUUUAAUUCGAUGCAACGCGAAGAACCUUACCUACUCUUGACAUCCUAAGAAGCUUUCAGAGAUGAGAGUGUGCCUUCGGGAACUUAGAGACAGGUGCUGCAUGGCUGUCGUCAGCUCGUGUUGUGAAAUGUUGGGUUAAGUCCCGCAACGAGCGCAACCCUUAUCCUUUGUUGCCAGCGAUUCGGUCGGGAACUCAAAGGAGACUGCCAGUGAUAAACUGGAGGAAGGUGGGGAUGACGUCAAGUCAUCAUGGCCCUACGAGUAGGCUACACACGAACCC
rnacentral:rRNA from 1 species